ACGGGAGGCAGCAGUGGGGAAUUUUGGACAAUGGGCGAAAGCCUGAUCCAGCAAUGCCGCGUGUGUGAAGAAGGCCUUCGGGUUGUAAAGCACUUUUGUCCGGAAAGAAAUCCUCUGGGUUAAUACUUCGGGGGGAUGACGGUACCGGAAGAAUAAGCACCGGCUAACUACGGGCCAGCAGCCGCGGUAAUACGUAGGGUGC
rnacentral:rRNA from 1 species